rnacentral:rRNA from 1 species
UACAGAGGUCUCAAGCGUUGUUCGGAUUCAUUGGGCGUAAAGGGUGCGUAGGUGGCAUGGUAAGUCGGAUGUGAAAUCCCGGGGCUCAACCCCGGAACUGCAUUCGAUACUGCUGCGCUAGAGUACUGGAGAGGAGAUUGGAAUUUACGGUGUAGCAGUGAAAUGCGUAGAUAUCGUAAGGAAGACCAGUGGCGAAGGCGGAUCUCUGGACAGUUACUGACACUGAGGCACGAAGGCCAGGGGAGCAAACGUG